rnacentral:rRNA from 1 species
CGCUCUUUGCAAAAUAAUUAAAGUAUAAAGAGUUCUGCCUGCCCAGUGACGUUGUUAAACGGCCGCGGUAUCUUGACCGUGCAAAGGUAGCAUAAUCAUUUGCCUUUUAAAUGGGGGCUGGUAUGAAUGGCAAGACGGGGGUUAAGCUGUCUUUUUCUUUUAUCUUGAAAUUAAUAUUUUUGUGAAGAAGCAAAAAUUUAUUCGUAGGACGAGAAGACCCUAUCGAGCUUUAGCAUAAGUGUACUAAUAAUAUCUUUGUUUUAGGAAUCUAAUUCUUUCAAGUUUUGAUCUGGAAAGUUAAUUUUUAUAAUAAAAAUUAUGUAGUACUAUUGUUUUGGUUGGGGCAACCAUGGAGAAAAUAGAUCCUCCAUUAAAGUGAAAAAAAAGAUACAACUUUGUUGAAAAUAAAAGUGACCCGGUCUAGUGCCGAGCAAAGGAAUAAGUUACCGUAGGGAUAACAGCGUAAUUUUUUUGGAGAGUUCAUAUUGAUAAAAAAGUUUGCGACCUCGAUGUUGGAUCGGGAUUUCCUAGAGAUGCAGCAGUUUCUAAGGGUUGGUCUGUUCGACCAUUAAAAUCCU